GCAGGAGGGGCCGCCGGGCCAGAGGCGGAGCUGCAGCUCUGCCGCGACUUUCAGACGCGGACCAUGGCCUCGUGCUGGUGGCGGUGGCGGCGCGGCUGCUCCUGGAGGCAGGCGGCGCGGAGUCCCGGGCCCGGCUCCCUCGGCCGCGCGGGACUGUCCGGGCUGCGCGCCGCCGCCGCCACCGCUGCAGCCCGCGCGCAGAUGUCCUAUUUUAAUCUUGUGAAGAGUUUAACAUCUGCCUUUCCAAAUAUGUAUAGUAUAUCACGGUUCCAUCACGUGACGCCAGCAGUGUGCUGCUGUAGUAGAACACGGAGCGGUGAGAAAUACACUGAUCCUUUUAACCUUGGCUGGAGAGACUUGAAAGGUCUGUACGAGGACAUCAGGAAGGAACUAUUCAUAUCUACAACAGAACUUAAGGAUAUGUGUGAAUACUACUUUGAUGGAAAAGGAAAAGCCUUUCGACCAAUCAUUGUGGUGCUAAUGGCCCGAGCCUGUAAUAUUCAUCAUAAUAACUCCCGAAAUGUGCAAGCAAGCCAGCGUGCCAUAGCCUUAAUUGCAGAAAUGAUCCACACUGCCAGCCUGGUCCAUGAUGAUGUCAUUGAUGAUGCAAGUUCCCGAAGAGGAAAACACACAGUUAAUAAGAUCUGGGGUGAAAAGAAGGCUGUCCUUGCUGGCGAUUUAAUUCUUUCUGCAGCAUCGGUAGCUCUGGCACGAAUUGGAAAUACAACUGUUGUAUCUAUUUUAACCCAAGUGAUUGAAGAUUUGGUGCGUGGUGAAUUUCUUCAGCUCGGGUCAAAAGAAAAUGAAAAUGAAAGAUUUGCACACUACCUUGAAAAGACGUUCAAGAAGACUGCAAGUCUGAUAGCCAACAGUUGUAAAGCAGUCUCUGUCCUGGGAUGCCCUGACCCAGUGGUACAUGAAAUUGCCUAUCAAUACGGAAAAAACGUGGGACUCGCUUUUCAGCUAAUAGAUGACGUCCUGGACUUCACCUCGUGUUCUGACCGGAUGGGCAAGCCGACCUCAGCCGACCUGAAGCUCGGGUUAGCCACCGGUCCCGUCUUAUUUGCUUGUCAGCAGUUCCCAGAAAUGAAUGCUAUGAUAAUGAGACGGUUCAGUUCACCAGGAGAUGUGGACAGAGCGAGACAAUACGUAUUACAGGGGCCUAAAGGAAGUGGGCGGAGGAAGCUCUGUGAGUUGGAGAGAGAACAUUUGAAACACAGUUCGGCUCCUCACUACCGGAUCUCAAAAAGCGAUGGUGUGCAGCAGACAACCUACCUCGCCCAGCGGUACUGCCGUGAAGCAGUGAGAGAGAUCAGUAAACUUCGACCAUCCCCAGAAAGAGACGCCCUCAUACAACUUUCGGAAAUCGUGCUCACAAGAGAGAAAUGACAGCUCGUUCUGUUAUUUCUGGCAGCUAUUUUACCAGACUGUGCCUAAAGAAUUCUGUGGCGUAUACUUUGCUUCAUGUGCAGGAGCUCCACUGCUGCCGUUAAACCUGCAAAGCACAAGCUUACUUGAAUUCUGAGAAUAAAGUGGACCUCCAUUAACAUGAGGCUGAGCAGAAAACUGAGCCGUCACAGAGGGAGUCCGUCUGUAUCCACCAGAAGAUGUCGAGGAAGUGGUAGAGUUGUGUCGAGAAAUCUGCCUGGUCAUUGUGCCAUACUGGGAACCAGGAGCUGAGCCCGGGGCUGCUGAAAAGCAUUAGUCAAAGGCAACCAACAAAGAACUUGAGCAUUGCACGUCACCUCCGAUGGCAGAACAAAGAGAAGGAGACUAUCGGCAAGAAAUGUUUAUUACUUUUUAAAGCCCACAGCACAAAAUAAAGAGAAAAGUAAAGAUAAAACACAAACAGCUCUAUCUCUGAAGUUACAAAAAGAAGGAAAAACAGAUACUGUGUGGAAAGUGCAAAAGUAAAUAAGUAAUAUUCUUAAGCCUUUUAAUUUAGCAUAAUACCAAAUGGUAUUUUGCUAAUAAAAUGUAUAAAUUUUUUUCUGUAACAUUUUAAAACACACAGCUUUUAUAUGUCAACUGUGUCUUUCCAAGAAAAUAAGUACCAAAUGAUAGUCUGAGGUGGAAAGCAUCAGUUUUUAGAUGUGAAUAUCUUAAUAUCUGGUUUACAGACUUCUCCUUUCCAUUGCCAAAUCUUCAGAAGCACAGUAUAAGAAUCUAUCCAGCCAAACCCAGCUUAAAUUAUAAAAUGUAAACAAUUAAGCAUAUUUUCCACAUGCACUACUAUAUUUAUUUGAAUGUUUAAUGUAUUAGCAGUUAUUACCAAUA